rnacentral:lncRNA from 1 species
AUCUAACCACAAGAAAAUCGCCUUUACGCACUUUCUAAAAACACCAUUUAUUUCAGCUCGGAUUCUCCUACGAUAUCGCCUGCGCUCUUUUUGAAGAAAACCAAUUAUUUCAGCUCAGAUUCUCCUCUUCUUAGUUAUUAUAUUUGGUUUAGAUUUGUAGUUAUCUAAAUUGGGGUUAAAUCCUAAUCUAAUUAGGAUUAUAUAUAAUUUAGAUUUAAUUUGGCAUAUAUGGAUUAUAAUUAGGAGUAUAAUUCUAAUUGAAUUAGACUCUAAUUAGGAUAUAUGUAUUAUAAAUACAUGCUACGGCCAAAUUAAUCAAGCUGCGACCAAA